rnacentral:rRNA from 1 species
AUGUGCGAGGGGCGGCGCCCCGGGCACGCGAGCCGGCCGCCGUGGGCGCUGGCGGCGGAGCUGCGGCGGAGGGAGGCCGCGGCGGACGCGCGGCUGGCGGCGGCGCGGGCGCGGCUGGCCGAGGCGCUGGCGGAGCUGGAGCGGGCGCGGGCGCGCGCCGCCGAGCUGCAGCGCCGCCUGGAGGAGAACUACGGCAAGCGGCGCCGGCUCAAGCGGGUGGUGGCCGCCACCCGCUCCCGGAUCCACGACACCCGCGCGCUCCUCCAGGACCACCAGGACCCGCCGCCGCCGCAGCAGCAGCAGCUCCCCGCCGAAUCCGAUCCCACCUCCUAG